GAACUAUAUUGAGAGAGGAAGAAACGCCAUACAUGACUAUAGAGAUGGAGACUUCACUGUUACCAUUAAGAACCUGAUGAAGACAGACUCAGGGACCUACUGGUGUGGAGUGGACAGAUCUAUAAAAGAUUCAUACCAAGAGGUGCAUCUCAUAGUUACAGAUGCUCCUUCUAAACAGUCAACUGUCACUUCCAGACCUCAUGUCUCCACAACCCUCACAAACCUCUCUGCAACAUCCCCAAACCUCUCUUCAACAUCUUCUAACAUCUCCACAACCCUCCCAAACCUCUCUGCAACAUUAUCUAACAUCUCUACAACAUUUCUGGCAUCUGGAGACAUCAGUGGUCACUCUUCAUAGAGCAGAUUCUCCUCCCUUAGACUACUCUCCUGGUGCAGGACAGAGUCAGAGUGCUGUUAAGUUUCAUAUCUACUGAUUUGAGUGGUGACUAAAUAUGGUGUAGAUGUGAGUCUCUCAGAGACCUACAGGAAGUG